rnacentral:rRNA from 1 species
UACGAAGGGGGCUAGCGUUGUUCGGAAUUACUGGGCGUAAAGCGUGCGCAGGCGGCUUCUCAAGUCAGGGGUGAAAGCCCAGAGCUCAACUCUGGAAUUGCCUUUGAGACUGAGUGGCUUGAGUACGGGAGAGGUGAGUGGAAUUCCCAGUGUAGAGGUGAAAUUCGUAGAUAUUGGGAAGAACACCAGUGGCGAAGGCGGCUCACUGGCCCGAUACUGACGCUGAGGUGCGAAAGCGUGGGGAGCAAACAGG